UCAGUUUGCUUGCAAACUGGAGAUGGCGACCGGCGCACGGGUGAGUAACACGUAUCCAACCUGCCGAUAACUCGGGGAUAGCCUUUCGAAAGAAAGAUUAAUACCCGAUGGUAUAAUCAGACCGCAUGGUCUUGUUAUUAAAGAAUUUCGGUUAUCGAUGGGGAUGCGUUCCAUUAGGCAGUUGGUGAGGUAACGGCUCACCAAACCUUCGAUGGAUAGGGGUUCUGAGAGGAAGGUCCCCCACAUUGGAACUGAGACACGGUCCAAACUCCUACGGGAGGCAGCAGUGAGGAAUAUUGGUCAAUGGGCGCAGGCCUGAACCAGCCAAGUAGCGUGAAGGAUGACUGCCCUAUGGGUUGUAAACUUCUUUUAUAUGGGAAUAAAGUUUUCCACGUGUGGAAUUUUGUAUGUACCAUAUGAAUAAGGAUCGGCUAACUCCGUGCCAGCAGCCGCGGUAAUACGGAGGAUCCGAGCGUUAUCCGGAUUUAUUGGGUUUAAAGGGAGCGUAGGUGGACAGUUAAGUCAGUUGUGAAAGUUUGCGGCUCAACCGUAAAAUUGCAGUUGAUACUGGCUGUCUUGAGUACAGUAGAGGUGGGCGGAAUUCGUGGUGUAGCGGUGAAAUGCUUAGAUAUCACGAAGAACUCCGAUUGCGAAGGCAGCUCACUGGAC
rnacentral:rRNA from 1 species